UGUGGGAGCGAGCCUGCUCGCGAUGACAGCGGCACAUUCAGCAUCGCAGCAAGCUGACCCACCGCCAUCGCGAGCAGGCUCGCUCCCACA
rnacentral:misc_RNA from 1 species